CGGACGGGUGAGUAACGCGUGGAAAAUUUGUCGUAUAUUGGGGGAUAACACUUAGAAAUAGGUGCUAAUACCGCAUAAGCGCACAGCUUCGCAUGAAGCGGUGUGAAAAACUCUGGUGGUAUACGAUGGUUCCGCGUCUGAUUAGCUAGUUGGUGGGGUAAUGGCCUACCAAGGCAACGAUCAGUAGCCGGCCUGAGAGGGUGAACGGCCACAUUGGGACUGAGACACGGCCCAAACUCCUACGGGAGGCAGCAG
rnacentral:rRNA from 1 species